AGCAGCCGCGGUAAUUCCAGCUCCAAUAGCGUAUAUUAAAGUUGUUGCAGUUAAAAAGCUCGUAGUUGAACUUCAGGCCUGGCUGGGCGGUCCGCCUCACGGCGUGUACUGUCUGGCUGGGUCUUACCUCUUGGUGAGCCGGCGUGGCCUUUAUUGGUUGCGUCGGGGAACCAGGACUUUUACCUUGAGAAAAUUAGAGUGUUCAAAGCAGGCCUACGCCCGAAUACAUUAGCAUGGAAUAAUAAAAUAGGACGUGCGGUUCUAUUUUGUUGGUUUCUAGAGUCGCCGUAAUGAUUAAUAGGGAUAGUUGGGGGCAUUGGUAUUGAGUCGCUA
rnacentral:rRNA from 1 species